rnacentral:lncRNA from 1 species
UUCCCUAGGGCAGGCUGAAGUCAGGUUGUGUUGGGUUGAGAGAGGACUGGAAGUUAGGAAAUGCGAACAACACAUGUGGGUGCUGAACAGCUCAGUUCAGAAAACAUGCAGUGACGAUUUGGGGACAGAGGGGUCAUUAUGCUGAGAGAGAGGCAAGAUCAAGAGAAGGACUUCCAGUACUGCUGUGACAAGCAGAUUCUUUGGCUGGGAAUAAGGAGCAGGUAUCCAUAGAACUAGGAUACACUUAAGUGAGAUAGGUAAAGUUGAUGAACCGAGAUCCUAGAGGAAUUGGGAUGGAAAAGAAUUGAGCGCACAUAUAAAACAGGAGGUAGAGAUCAUCAAGGCAUUUCUAGUAUCAGUUAUGGGGGAUUAAAUGUCCAUCAGUAAUGUUUAGGGUAAAUGAAGCAUGGGCUGCCCAUUCCUUAGAAUAUUGUGUAAUUUAAAGUAUUAAGAAUGAUAUAUAUUUGUUGACAUGUAGACCUGUGUCCACUGAGUAUCCAAUAAAAGACAUGUUACAGGUGAGAGCUGCUAUAUAACUCAGGGCCCCAGAGUUGGUCUCCUUGGGACACCUUUUGUAUAAAACCCAAGGUGAUUGCUACUUCCUGGUUGAGAAAUUGUCAAAAUAAAAUGGCAGACUAUGACCUGGGAUGAUAAUGUUUAUGGGAAAUAUAAUAGGCUGGG